rnacentral:rRNA from 1 species
CCUACGGGUGGCAGCAGUGGGGAAUAUUGCACAAUGGGCGCAAGCCUGAUGCAGCCAUGCCGCGUGUGUGAAGAAGGCCUUCGGGUUGUAAAGCACUUUCAGCGGGGAGGAAGGCGUUAAGGUUAAUAACCUUGUCGAGUGACGUUACCCGCAGAAGAAGCACCGGCUAACUCCGUGCCAGCAGCCGCGGUAAUACGGAGGGUGCAAGCGUUAAUCGGAAUUACUGGGCGUAAAGCGCACGCAGGCGGUCUGUCAAGUCGGAUGUGAAAUCCCCGGGCUCAACCUGGGAACUGCAUUCGAACCUGGCAGGCUAGAGUCUUGUAGGGGGGGGUAGAAUUCCAGGUGUAGCGGUGAAAUGCGUAGAGAUCUGGAGGAAUACCGGUGGCGAAGGCGGCCCCCUGGACAAAGACUGACGCUCAGGUGCGAAAGCGUGGGGAGCAAACAGGAUUAGAUACCCUUGUAGUC